ensembl:lncRNA novel transcript
AUGAAGGAUGUUAGAGCCUGGGAUGCUGAGGCAUGUACUGUGGGACAAUUAUAGCAAGUUGGUAAAUUCAGCUGACAGAUGAGAUGACAAGAUUACAAGCGCUUUUUGUCAUAAGUUCUUGAAAGAGAAAAAAUCCCAAUGGACAAGCCUCAGGAAG